UUCUAUUAACUUGGUGCAAAAGUAAUUGUGGUUUUUGCCAUUACUUUCAAUGGCAAAAACAGCAAUUACUUUUGCACCAACCUUAAUAUUUCCAC
ensembl:miRNA